rnacentral:rRNA from 1 species
GAUGAACGCUGGCGGCGUGCCUAAUACAUGCAAGUCGAGCGAACGGACGAGAAGCUUGCUUUUCUGAUGUUAGCGGCGGACGGGUGAGUAACACGUGGAUAACCUACCUAUAUGACUGGGAUAACUUCGGGAAACCGGAGCUAAUACUGGAUAAUAUUUUGAACCGCAUGGUUCAAAAGUGAAAGACGGUCUGGCUGUCACUUUUAGAUGGAUCCGCGCUGCCUUAGCUAGUUGGUAAGGUAACGGCUUACCAAGGCAACGAUGCAUAGCCGACCUGAGAGGGUGAUCGGCCACACUGGAACUGAGACACGGUCCAGACUCCUACGGGAGGCAGCAGUAGGGAAUCUUCCGCAAUGGGCGAAAGCCUGACGGAGCAACGCCGCGUGAGUGAUGAAGGUCUUCGGAUCGUAAAACUCUGUUAUUAGGGAAGAACAUAUGUAUAAGUAACUGUGCACAUCUUGACGGUACCUAAUCAGAAAGCCACGGCUAACUACGUG